rnacentral:rRNA from 1 species
UCACUAGUCGUGUCCUCAGGGGGGGCAUCACUGCCAGCAUACUUAGAAGCCGUACACAUCGAACAUUACAAUUCGCGCCUCAACAAGGCCCAGCGUGUUUGGACCAUUGACGAUCCUCUGAAAAUGAAGAAACUGUUUGCUGCACCUUACGUCACCGGCUUGAUUACUAACCGGUUUGAGGAAGCUAUGGAUAUGCGAGCAUUGGUAGAACAAGGCAGCGGCGCGACAGUGUGAAGUUAGACGAUAGUUGGAUUUUUAAUUGAAGAAUAGCCGCCACGCAAAUGAGAUUGUCAUUGCGUGGCGGCUAUUUGUAUACCGUGAAUUGGGCAUAUGAGUUAGAUCACUAGCAAGGAUUUGCCACAAAGCGUUGCACAUGAAUUGACAAUCAUGGAAAAUGAAGUUAUCUAAGAAUUAGAAGUGACUAUACCGUUGUGCAAACAAAUUGAGGAAAUAAAGCCAUGUCAGUCAAUUUUUUCUUUUGAUUAUCUUUGCAUUUAUCAUGUAUUACGUUAUUGAAGCUGCAGUGGAAAAGGCUGUGAAACGAGCGAUGAUUGUAACUAAGAUCCAGUCAAAAACAAUAGCGGCUGAAUAUCAUGCUGAAUAGGCCUAUUGAGACAACGCAAUCAUGAUUACUGAAAAAAUCAAUGAACUUAACAAAAUAUAUCCACAUCAUGCAGAGACUAAACAACAAAUCAGGGCAUUACAAGCGUUAGCAUCUCAAAACAACGGUAUUUCCAUAUGACAAAAAAAUAAACUAACGAGCAGAAGUAUCAAGCACGACAAGUAUUGAGAACCAAGGUUGAACAGAUUAAGCGGGAUCCUUCCAACACCACCAAUUAAAGGAUCGUCUGCCAGACCAUGAUCGCCGGUUCAAGUCUGAGAGCAGGGCUGAGGUAUUUUUGUGAAGGACCCCGCUAUAUCAAGGAUGCUAGAGAUAAUAGCUAGGCUUUUUUUAACUGAUGGCGUACGUUAAAGGAGGAAACAGCAAUGAGCGAUUUAAGCUUAGGCAGCCGACUUAAGCAACUGCGGAAAGCGCGUGGCAUGACGCAAUCACAGUUAGCUGACGAUUUGUUUGUUUCACGUAAAACAGUCUCUAGCUGGGAAACUGGGCGUAACCAGCCAGACUUGCAGACGAUUUGUCGAUUAGCCAGUUAUUAUCAGCUAACGGUAGAUGACCUCAUUCACCAGCAAUCAGUCCCAUGCGCUGAUGAUCAACGACCGAUCACUUGGCUCGGCCCAGCAUUAGCCAUCAUAUUGAUGGGGCGGCUUGGAUUUGUCGCGCUACCUGAGAUGCUGGUGCUUUCCGACGUUGUGGUCAUCGCGCUGGCGUGGUUACUCGUUAGCUGGUGGCAGCGAUACAUGCACCUACGAACGAUAAGGUGGGCAUGCAGUUUAUUGGCAGUUACCUUUAUCGUUGCUGCAGGGUUGAAUUUGUUCAAAAUGGACUUUGGUCUGCAGUUAAUUUAUUUGGCUGCCGCCGUUACAUUACUGAUUCCCAUAGCGGGCACUGCACUGAUCAAAAAGAUUCGCAGUCGCCCAACUUAAUCUAUGCAAGGGGGGCUGUUCAUAUGAAACAUAAAGGCAUCUGGCUCAUCAAUGGUUUACUUGCCUUAUUUGCAUUGCCAAUAGCGGUCAUGAUUCUCAUUCGCCGCGUUGAUGGCAGUGGGUACGUUGAAACCGGUCGUUCGCGAUUAGCAGCACUCGCUGUCCUUGGUGCAGCUGUUUUAAUCGUCAUACUGUGCGAACUAAUUUAUCUGCUGAUGGCACAUGCUGUAAAAAAAGGCUGAUGAAAAUUAAUAAGUGGUUUGCAUACUGAAAAAGUCUUGUAUCUUCUCCGGGUUUGAAACUUAAAGCCUACUAGGUACAAGGCGUUUUUUAUGGAGACAGCAACCUGCUUCAUUUGUUACCAACAAAUCAAAACACAAGAAUAGAAAACGAUCGCAUCAUACUAGCACAAGACUGGUGAUGCGAUCGUUUUGACGUUGAAUGUGGUGCUGCUCAAUUUUUAGGGUUCCUGAACUUGAUAAUGUUUCAGAAACUUUUUCUUAGAAACGACACGGUGGUUGGUCACAUCUAAGAAGUCGCCUGGAUAACCUAUUGCAUACAUACCAUAGCCAGCAAAUCCGCCGCCAAUUGUUCCCACAGCGCCUAUUUUCAAAUUUGUCGCCAAUGAAGGAUUCAAGCCACUCAUUAAAAUCCGAAGAUGAUCCUCAAGCCAAUAUAGAUAAUUUUCGUCAAAAGCCUCUUUGACCCAGUCAGGACGCGCACCAGUUUUGUUGAUCUCCCAAACGUCAACUGGAUUGCCUUUGUAGAAGGCUUUCAUGGUCAUACCUUCUUUCACCUCAAACAUUGAAAGUGACGAACUGCAGUUAAGAAAACGGAUACAUUUCAAACUCGACCGAAUUGUAAAUCCGGAUGGUAGUCGUGGUCAAACAAACGAGCAACGAUUCACAAUGAUUUUUUGAUGAGUUAUGUUGAGAAAAAUACCAUGAGGAGUGGGUGGCGUAAGAUGCAA